UUCGUAAAGAUGUAUCCGGGAAAACAAAGAGACAACAAAAUACAAACAGUCAAACGAUAUACAGAGUGUUUUGUCGGUUUGAGAAAAAAAAUUACUGAGUUUUGUCUGAUCGAGCAAAAAUGGAAUCAAGACACCUAAUAAUCCAUAUCGGAUAUCUCCGAGGCAAUGAUAUUCUCGAUCGGAAUCCCACGUUAAAGCAACAUGAUCGGAUUUAUUCUCGAUUAAUCUGAUCAGCUGUCUUUUUGUAUUUCUCUGAUUUCGAUUUCAAAGGAAAAGUAAGCGUCGAUCUGGAUUCCAAAUGGAUUGAAUCGAAUAUGGAUCUUCUUCUACAAGAUAACCCCAUCAAGCCUAAAUGAAAGAUAAGCAAAAAAAACCCUUUCGAAUAUUGUUUAUCCAUCAACUCUGAUGAAUUCGAAACUCUAAUAGUUAUGUUUUGUCUGUUUAGGAUAAAAUUUUCUUGAAUUAGACGCUAUUAUAAUUCGACAAUUGGAUUGAAGGAGGGGUAUGAACAUACUGGGUUUACAAAAAAAUUUCAAAUGAAAGGGUAAUUCUGGUUUUGGCCAAAGUUUCAACUACCUUACAAAAUGGGACGUAUAGUAAUGAGGAAUUAUAUACACUAUCCUGGUAAGUACUAUCCAGGUAAGUACUAUCAAGUUUUAAUUCAACAAAAUUAUUUUCUCCUAGAAAUAUUUAUUAGUUACAUAAAUUAAAUAGUUUAUGUUACCAAUUUAUAAAAGUUUACCAAAGUCUGUAUUUAUAAAUUAUAUUAAAUAAAAGUUAUCAAUGGUAUGGAAAAAAGUUUGAGAAUAAACCUACGGAUGAGACAGUAGGUUUAGUUCAAACACAAAAAAAACCAUAAUAAAUUAUUACAACAGCAUCUAAGUUUUAAAAACAAAACGUUUGCUUAGAACCAUACCAAUCCAUGAAACUCUUUCACUCAUUUAGUUCCACCACUUCAACAUCCUCGACAGUCUUCACAUCAUUUGAAAACAUCCUGUUUUUAUAACACAAUUCAAAUUAUGUUUUCGAAAACAGAGCUUAGAAAAUAAUAUAGAUUUAAAUAAUACACAAAUAGUUAAUCAAUAAUAGUUACCUUCACAAAUGUGUAUGGUAUAAGUUUUAGGGAAAAUGAUAGAAACUUACUGCAGAAUAAGACAAUAUCAUCUCUAUUGUCUCACCAGUGUAUGUUGUAUAUUGCUUCCAUGUAUGGACGAUCUUGACUCUUAUCUUCCAGGUUUUUUGAAGGCUUUGAGCUCGGAAACAUGUGUAAAACCAUUGGUGGUCACCAUGACUGCGAUAAAAAAGUGAAUUUCUACUAUGUUUGUAUGAAUGUUUGAUGAGUUUUAUGAUUUACGGUGUAUUUUAUGGUUUUUAUAACAGUUGUUCUUCGUAGCUUUGGGUGAAAGGUAGAAUAUUUGAUGCAAUCAAUGUAAUAUAUUCUGUUUGUGA